UGCCAGACUCCUACGGGAGGCAGCAGUGAGGAAUAUUGGUCAAUGGGCGAGAGCCUGAACCAGCCAAGUCGCGUGAGGGAUGACGGUCCUAUGGAUUGUAAACCUCUUUUGUCAGGGAGCAAAGGGCGCCACGUGUGGCGUUUUGCGAGUACCUGAAGAAAAAGCAUCGGCUAACUCCGUGCCAGCAGCCGCGGUAAUACGGAGGAUGCGAGCGUUAUCCGGAUUUAUUGGGUUUAAAGGGUGCGCAGGCGGAAUGUCAAGUCAGCGGUAAAAUUGAGAGGCUCAACCUCUUCGAGCCGUUGAAACUGGUUUUCUUGAGUGAGUGAGAAGUAUGCGGAAUGCGUGGUGUAGCGGUGAAAUGCAUAGAUAUCACGCAGAACUCCGAUUGCGAAGGCAGCAUACCGGCGCUCAACUGACGCUCAUGCACGAAAGUGUGGGUAUCGAACAGGAUUAGAUACCCGAGUA
rnacentral:rRNA from 1 species